rnacentral:lncRNA from 1 species
UUUUGUGGUAUUUUCAUUGGUAUUUUGUGGUAUUUUAGCCACUUAAAAUGCAAAUAUUAAUUAUUAAUUAUAUUUAUUAUAUUAAUUAUAUUUUGUUGAGUAUGUCCAUCUAUUAAAUGUAUUAACAUAAAUAUCAAAAGAUGAAAUAAUGAUAGCUAACGUUUACUGACAGGCAGUUUUCUGCACGGCAUGUGGAAGUUCCCAGGCUAGAGGUUGAAUGGCAGCUGCAUCUGCACCUACACCACAGCUCUCAGCACCGCCGGUUCCUUAACCCACUGAGCGAAGCCAGGGGUCAAACCUGCAUCCUCAUGGAAACUGCUGAGCCACAAUAGGAACUUCUUAAGUGCUGUGCUUGUAUCAACACAUUUAGUCCUCACCACGGUCCUCUGAGUUGCUGUUCUUAUCUUCAUUUUGCAGAUGAAGAUGUGAGAUGCAGCAGAGCGCUUAACACCUUACGUGGGGUCGCAGUGCUGCCGAGUAUGGGUCACACUCCUGAGUCUGUCCUUAGCCUCUGUCGCGCCAGCCCUGAGGAGGUGAUGGGGGGAGCAGGGCAAGCCGAAAAGCACCAGGGAGAGGGCGGCCCCAAGGAUCCCUGGGAAGCGCACACUGGCUCAAAAAAAGGACUGGAGCCCAGGGUUUUAGGCCACUUGGAACAGCAAUAUCCCGAUUCUCUACUGGUGUAAAUAAUCCUCUUUGUUACUGUGAUGGACGUAGCAGUAGCCCUGGUGACUGCAGACAUACUGGGACACAGGUGGCCCAGAGGUGGAGCCACUUAUCUGAGGAUAUGGCUGGAGGCCCUGACUCCUGCUCAGGUGUCUGGUGGGAAGAGGCCUUAUUGAGGGCUGAGGGGCCUGCAGGGAGCCCCUCCCCGUCUCGGGCUCAGUUCCUCACCUGUACACAAUGCUUCUUGUCCUUGGAGCAUUUUCUCUACUUGCAGGGCUUUGUUCAUGCUCCCAUCUGAUUGGGGAGGCUCAGAGAGGCCAAGUGACAACGGGAGCCAGGGUCGGAGCCCACGUCUUCCGUGGAAGGAGUUUCGGACAAUGAUGGUACAUGUGUUUUUAAAUCUCCUGGGCCACCAGGCAGUGCAGUAAACACGCCCAAUAAAGACAGUGCAACGAAUCCUGUAUAGUUUUACAAGGUCUGGGAAGGUUGGCUUAAGAACUCCUCCUCUCCCUUCCCAUUCUCAGUCCCCAGCUGCCUCUGAGAGAGGCCCCACCAUCCUUCCCAGGGUUGGGGAGCUUUCAUUCCCCCUUUACAGUUUGUUCCACAAACACUGAGCUGUUCAUUUAACAGAAAUACAUUCAGCAUCUGCACCGCACAUUGUGUAGGUACUUGAGAUGCAACCAACGACAAAGCAGAGGGUCCCUGUGGACGUGGAGGCUGGAGUCCCGUAAGGGACACGGUUGGUGCGGUGUGCGGUGCUGUGCUGGUGGGAGAGGGAGAGAAACACAUGCCCCCAAAUAGAGGGGGACAAGCUCACAGAGACCUGAGGCAAAGGGGUGAAGUCACACAAAGCAGGAGAUACAGAGGCUGAGAGAGACGCACAGAGACAGAAACGGGAGAGAGAAGCACCAUGAGCGGGACACACUCCCAGAUGCACACGCAGCCAGGCGAGAUGCCAUUCAUAUGGAAACAGAGAAGCAGAGAGCCAGACGGAGCCACCGUCAUUUCUUAAAGUGGCUGAAGACUGGUCUGUGUAGAGCUUCAGAUCUGAAGCUUCGGAGGCUGGAGAUGCAGGGUCAAAUCUGGCUUUGCUCAGGUGGUCGUGUGGCCUUAAGUCAGUCUCUGCCCCUCAAUAUCAGCACCCUCAACUAUGACAUUUAUGGAUGGUAAAUUUUGUGAGCUUAUGCAGAAGAUGACCUGGGAAGGUCCUAAGGCGUUGAAGGCAGCCAUCAGAGACACCAGAGAAGCUGGGGCUGGCAGAGCAGCCUCUGGAUGCAGAACCCUGGUCAGUGACAGCUCAAAGAACAUCCUGACUGUAUGUGGGUCACCACCAGCCAGGAGUGUAGACAGAGGAGGACAGACCCGAGAAAGGCAAGCCGCCCGCGCAGGUCUUGUCUGGACUGGGGGUGUACCCGGAGCUCCGUCUCUGAAGGAGGUCCCUGAGGGAAGCAGAGCAGACGGGGCCUGGCUUUACUCCGCAGCCACGUGGCUUCCUCCUAUGUGGCUUCCUUCUCUUUGGCUGUGUUGAAGUCCCUUGCCCCCUCCUUUCCUCCGGGUGGGGAGGAGCUUGACUCAGGAGUUUUCCUGCUGCAGGGCCGGGGCAUCUUCCUGGCUUCUGCCUCCUGACUCCAGAGGUGUGAGGUUUAGUCAGCACCUGCGUGGCUCGCUUUAUUACCAAGGGCUAUGGAAGUGGUCUCAGUAGAGUCUCAGAACAGCCCAACGAGGUAGCCAAGGCAGGUGUUCUGUGGGGCAUGUGAAACUGCAUGGCACCCACACACAGUAGGUAAUUUACUAGUGGUAGCGAUUACUCUCAUCUUUUCUUUAUGCAGAUGGGGAAACCGAAGCUAGAAACAGGUGAAGCGACUCACUGAAAUGCCCAGAGUCAGUAAGUGCUUGGACUUUAUUACCCAAGAUUGUGUUUGCUUCCAUGUGACAGACAUGGAGUGUCCACAGUGGCUUUAACCAAAGAAGGACGUUUUUUGCCCAAGUAACCACAAGUCCAGAGGUAGGCAUCCCAAGGCUGGCACAGCAGUCCCAUGUUGUCACUGGGAUCCAAAGUCCUCUCUCUUUCUGCUCUUCCAUCCUUAGCGGUUGCAAGAUAGAGGCUCCGUGGCUGUUGGCACAUUUGCAGAAGGCAUGAAAAGAAGGGAGGGGGAGGUUGAAGGAGCAGUGCCUAUACCAGGAAAGUUAAACCUUUCCAGAAUCCCCUCAUAGAAUUCCUUGUAGUGCCUCUGGCUGCAAGGGAGUCAGGGGAGGGGAAUACUUUGAAUUGGGCACAUUGCUGCUCCCAACGAAUUCUGAGUUCUGCCUGGGAAUUAGAAGAGGAGAAUGGACAUUGGGUAGGUAAUUAGCAAUGUUGGCCACACUCAAAGCUCCCAUUAGCUUCCUGACUCUAAGAGCCAGGUGGCUGCCUCCAGUUGUCAGCCUUCUUGGAUCCAAAGUCUGCAUCCUUUUGGUCCAGAGUCUAGCAUCUAUCCCUGUAGUUAUUUUGACUGGACCCUGGCCACAUGCAGGGCACCUUGUCAGUGAGGGAAAUGGAUGCUCUCUGGGUGCUUGGUGUCUGCUGAGGGGGUGCAGAGUGGGGCCCCAGGCAGGGCUGGACGGGAAGCCUCCCUCUCCAGCCUCACUCAGCCGUCCUCUUUGCUCUGUUGGCCCGAGGGAUGGAUGUCCCUCUUUCAGGAUGAAUGAGACUUUCUAAGCACUGGGGACCUUUAGGAGCCUGUCGCUGAGACUUUAGGGACAGCUCCUCUAUCGGCUGUCUGGUGUGUGGAUGUCUUCCUGAAGCUCUGAUGGAGGAGGCCUGUCAGCUACGCAAUCUGUGACCUUAUCUCAGGAAUGACCCGUGUGUGCAGCCCCAUAAAUCUUCCUGCGCCGCGACCUGGGAGGUGGCGUGGGUGAGAUUUGGUGUCGGCUUCUUGGAGGCGUCCUCCCCGGCUCCCUCAUCCUCCUGUUCUCCAGAGCGUCCUCACGUUCAGUGCUGCCCCUGAGCUGUGCUGAGCGGAGGGAGGUCAAGAAACUGAUGUGCACGGGGAAGGCUGUCCAGGGCCACCUGGGCCUGUCCUCGCCAAGUCAGGCCCCUGUUCCAGCCCCGGCCAGGCUGAGGGUGGGCCCCACGUAUCCGAGCUGGAGAGGCCUGAGCGUCCCCGAGCCUGGUGGGGUGUGUGCCCUGUGGAGAGGGCUGCAGGAGAACCACAGGGUCUAGACGCAAAGUGUGGUUUGAUGACAUAGCACAAAGGUCCAGAGCUCGGCGCUGAGGUGUGGGUUUAAACCCAUGCCCGCGAAUUGCUACCGGGGGGACCCUGCUAAUAAAUCCAGGCCCUCUCAGGGAGAGGUCAAGGACGGACAGGAGAGCACAACCCUGUCAUGAGGGAGGUGGAAUUCUUGGGAGCCAAUAGACCCCUCGGGGACCUUCCUCCGGUUCUGGGCCUCAUCUCCACCUCCAAGCUGCAGCCUGGGUCUGAGGAGGGAGGAUUUCGGGGGAAAGGUGAGGCUACAGAGGGCAUUCCAAAUGUAUUUUUCGGGCACAGAUCCAUCAUUUUAAUGUACCCCGGCCUCCUAUUUGAAUGAUAAAUUAAGGAAUGGUCUGUCCUGGUGCCUGAGACUUCUGCAGAGCCCUGAUAAGGCAGCCCGUAAAACCUUCUCCAGGCAGCCAGAGGAGGCUUUCUGCAUGUCUCAGAAAGGGUGGUUUGAUUUCUAGCAGCUUCUAGGGCAAACUGUUUUUGCCCGGACCUGGGAACAUGCUAGGCACCAGAGUCCUGUGACUGCAGGAUGGCUGGCCCUGGGGUUGAGGCCUGAGUGGAGACCGUGGGAUGAGUAAGAAAACUACACUCUGCCGUGGUGCUGCCUACACAACACAGGGUGCCUGGGUGGGCUCCAGACUCUGGCGUGGCCUCCACCUAUUGGCCCGCAGGAUCCUGUGCACCCUGAACCCUGGGCAGGAGCUUUGCUUCCCUUUCCGAGACAGUGCCUAGUCAGUCACUGCAUCCCCUGGGCUGCUUCAGUUCUUUGUAUGUAUUCAACACGUAUUCAUUCAAUGCACGUUUAUAGAGCACUUCCUGGAUGUCAGACUCAACACCACCUCUACAGAUGGGAAUAAAUGAGAGGGUCCCUUCCCUGUGGGGUUCAUGUCAGGUAUGCAGACAAGAAAGAAGGACUGCAAGCAGUGUGGUAACUGUAAGGAUGGGGUGAGCAGAGGGGCCUGUGGGUGCACAGAGAAGGGUCAGGGAGACAUCCUGGUGGAAGUGAUGGUGAGCUAGGUUCUGCUUUGAAUGGGUGACUGGUGAUAGUCCGGUGAAGGGACAGAUGGGGCAUGGGGGGAGGCAGAAGGAAUAGCGAGUGUGGAGCCCAGAGGCCACAGAGUGGUGGUCUUGAGAAAGUACCAGUACUUCAGUAUGGCUGGACAUAGUGUGUGAGGGGACUGCGCAGGAUGAGCCUGGAGAGGCAGGUGGGAACCACAGCGUGUGAGGGGGCUGCACAGGAUGAGCCUGGAGAGGCAGGUGGGAACCACAGCGUGUGAGGGGACUGCGCAGGAUGAGCCUGGAGAGCAGGUAGGAGCCACGUCGCAAGAGGACCUGACACUGUGGGGCGGGGGUAAUUCUUUCCCUUGAGGUCAUUGGGAAACAUCAGAAGUGCCCAAGGUUAGGUGCUGAGAUGUCCACACAGAAUGUCAUUGGCAAGUGCUCUCACCCCCACAAAGGAGAGAAGAGGCAAAGGGAAUGACCUCUAAUGCAUGUGCAACAGUGGCCUCAGCCAGUCACCUGGGGAGCUCUGGAGCUGGGAUGGCCUUUUAGGACUGACCUGAGUCAACACAAGGCAACUGACUACCUUUUGUAUCUUU